rnacentral:rRNA from 1 species
CCGGCGCACGGGUGAGUAACACGUAUCCAACCUGCCGUCUACUCUUGGCCAGCCUUCUGAAAGGAAGAUUAAUCCAGGACGGGAUCAUGAGUUCACAUGUCCGCAUGAUCAAAGGUAUUUUCCGGUAGACGAUGGGGAUGCGUUCCAUUAGAUAGUAGGCGGGGUAACGGCCCACCUAGUCAACGAUGGAUAGGGGUUCUGAGAGGAAGGUCCCCCACAUUGGAACUGAGACACGGUCCAA